rnacentral:lncRNA from 1 species
UAGAGUUUGAGUCUUAAAGCACGCCAGCCUCGGGAGUUCCAUUCUAUAGUGGUCAGCCUUUCCAUUCCAUCUCUUGGCAUUUAUCUGACAACCAUUGUUAGCUCUCUGCCAGCCCGUGCCAGGUCAGUCAUAAGCACUAACGAAGGCUGACCACUUACUUGAAAGGGGAUUCAAAUAGAGCAGCUUUGAUAGAAGCGAUAGAAGCAGGAGGAGAGGCAGUUUCACUAUAU